rnacentral:sRNA from 1 species
AGUCGAGGGGUUUGACAUGAUCAGGUCCGCUUCUUCCAGUUAGCUCGUCAACAGCACCAAAUCACCUGAAAUCAACACAAAUAUGCAACAUGCAUGCAAAACUAUCCUAAACAUGCAAAGUGAUAACAAAUGAUGAGAAAUGAUAUAAAACUGUGAUGAUAUGAUGCUAAAGUGAUGACAAAUUGAUGCUCAAAACAUGCAAAAUACACACUUAUCAACUCCUCAAACUUAGUCUUUGCUUUCCCACAAGCAAACAAUUAAGAACAAGUUGGAGGUGAGGUUUGAAAGCGGGGACUUAGAGCCAAAACACCAAAUAAACCAGAUGAAAUCAAUGUCGAAGUUGAUAGUUCUAAGCUGCGAUAUGAUCGAAUUCUACUCAAAAACGUUAGCCAUGCCUUAUUAUCAAUUAAUCCGACUCAUAUGCUCGACCGACACAUGUUUUCAAAUCUACCAAUCCCUUUAACAUUCAUUAGCUCUGGAACGUGAAUAAAGCAAUGCAUCCUCAAGGAACUCAUUUGGCUAA